CCGGAGAUCAUUGCCUUGGCAAUGGACAGGCUGGGCCCUGUUGGUUCCCAGUAAAGUGAGUGCUUCUGUUACAAAUAACGUUGUCUUUGCGAAGUUUCUAAGCAUGGCGAGUUUCCAAUCUGUGGGAAGCAGUAGAGAUUAUUGUGCGUGUCUGCAUGUGUAGAUGUUAGCUUCCAAUUUGCGGAGAUGCUGGUGUGUGGAUCACAACAGACGAGCUUGGAAGUCCUCUACCCUGAAGAUGCAUUGAACGCAUGCCAACAAUCAGAUUCCAUUCGUGAGUGCGUCAUUUAAACUUGUUUUUGAUACAAGUGGGAUAACAACUUGUAUCACAUGAAACCUGAGACCGGGUUGUCAGCGCUUCGUAUUCUGCUCUGGGUGUUUUUGCCUACUUGCGACUCGCUGUCGUGAUCUCACAGGAAUUUGUGAUCACGCUCAGUUGGUAGCCUCAUCAACACUGCAACAUAAGGUCGCUGUGGGUGGUUGACAUUUUGGUCGUGCACGAACUCACUGGAGAUUUCUUCGAUGGCGUAGGCAGAUCCAUCAGAGUGUACAGAGGCGAUUAUUCGUUUGUUUCGUGAAAACAUAGAGUUGGUAAGUUUUGAACUAUCUCUAAUGAUGAGCAGAACUUAAGGUUUGUAGUUCAAAAUCCUCAUUGGUGGAAUGACUUUGUUGCAUAUUUUAGUGUGCCUUUCCUACGAAGAUAUUUCAGAAUCUUAAUUUUGAGUUUGUUUCCUCUGCACGUUGCUAGAUUGCUCGAGUUGGAUAUGAACUGCAAGGAAUAGGAGUGGAAAACUUUAUACUGUUGACAUGGCUAACAUUCCGAGUUAGCAAUGUCUAUCAUACCCAUCGUGUUCCAAUGGCUUGCCAAUGUUCAAGGGUCGGUUCCUAAAUCAUCGGGUCAUCCCACACUACAUGCAGUUGUAGAAGACGAGUCAACAGUGUCAUACCUUGAUUGUAUAAGAUUUCUCAGUUGUGGAGGAAAAGAGACAGCCAUGAGCUCUGAGUACCCAGAUGUGGAGUUGUCUGACAUACAUGUUGACAAUGCAGCCACAGUUCGUUGCAUGGCUGCAUGAGUUGCGUUCCAAUCUGACGGUCACUCCUUCGUUUAUAACAGUUUGACACCAUCGUCACAGGCAAUAUCUUUGGUGGCGUCACACUAGACAAAGCUUCAAUGUUGACUCGAAGCAUAGCUAUGUUGCCGUCAGCUAGCACUGGAGAAUCUGUAAAUACCACUACCACUCAAACGACUCCUACGAUUGUUAUGGAUUUCUUUCUGAGUUGAGUAAGCUUUUUCCAGUACAGGGUUUCUUCUACUUCGUGGAAGUUCCCAAUUCCCUGACUCAAACUGUGUUGAUAUGUAGAGUCUUGGUGUGGACGAACCAAUUCAUGGAUUAGCUCUUAGUAUUGCUGGUCAGGUAUAAAUAUUUGUUCUAUAAAUGUGUGUUACAUCUUCUCUGGAAGCUUUUAGCCAAGAGAGUCAGUACAAGUUAUUUGGAUGGUGCGACCUAUCCAACAAUUUUCAGAGGCGUAUGCCCCAAAAUUUCUUAGUAUAACCUCAAAAGACCUGUUUCCGAUUGUAUACCUCUUAGGGGUUUGGUCCUGCUUCUUCCAGGACAAAGCAAAUAUUCUUUAUCAACUUCUAAGCGCAAAAGCGCUCCUACGUUAAGCUUCGGGAGAAGAAAGUGCUGCUCAUAUGAAUAAUCAUGUAAAUUUUGCAAGUUCUCUAUUUUUGGAGCUUUGGCUGUUCAGAAUUGUCAGUCGAAGGCAAUGAGGGAUAAUUGCAUGUUUAGCAAGUUUAAUUUAAAACCGGCUGGUGAGAGUUCACGAGGGAUUCCUUCGUGUGCGUGUUCGUUCCAGGAAUACGUGGGCUGCGCGAAAGUGGCAGUUGAUUUGUGGACGUUUUCGUCUCCAAGCUAGUCUAUGGAACAGAAGAUGAUUCGUGGAAAAAGCAUGAGAAACUGAUGCACCUAUUCAACCAACCUAUUCUCCAACUCUUAUUUAGUGUACUUGACAGCAAAGUAGCAAGAUCAUUUUAACCAAGUGUUUGCCCAGCUCUUUAGGCUUAGCUUAGUUAUUCCAGUAUACUAGUUUUCAUUUAGGAGUGUGAAAGAGUUCCCAGCUAAGCAUUCUCCAGAAAAUGACUAUUGUCGUACCCCACAAGAGACGCAUGAAACUUCAAUUGAGGCUUUACCUCAGAAUGUUAAUCCUACUCUCGUGCUA